CGGAGGCGGACGCAGGCGGACACGGCGGGUCCUCGGUGUUACGGCGCUCGCUAUUGGGCAGCGGCCUCCCGGCCCGGCUCGGCCCGGCCCGCCACGUCUGCAGCGCCGCGCGGGCAGCCCGGUCGCCCAACGGCCGCGGCGGGCGGGCGCGCGGUGCAUAACGGCCCCCAACGGCCGCGGCGGGCGGGCGCGCGGCGCCUAACGGCCCCCGGCUUUUCGGGGCCCCUGGCGCAGCCCUCCUGAGCGAGGCGCCGAAUGGCAGCGGUGUCGGGGCACGGCCGCGGCGGUUGACCCUGCCGGCCCAGAGAGCUCAUGUCCCGGCUCCGUGCUCAGGAGCCGCUCGCUCGCUGCGAGCAGCCUCGUGGCCGCCCGGUCCUUCCCGAGCACCCAGGGCCGCGGUGGCUCUGCCUCACGCAGCCAGUUCAUAGCCAGACUGCAGUUGCGGAGUGUUCCUCACUCAGGUUUUCCACUCCAGCCCCUUGCCCGCAGCUUUUUACCUACGCUUUUGUUUGAAGGGGAACAAUAAAGCUCAGACUUGCUUUUCCAUUUGGAAGGUGAACUACGGUUGCCACCGAAAACCAGCUCAGUGAUUAUGGAAUUCCACCAAAAAUUGGCCGAUUCCUUUUUGCUGCCUCGUGACACAGUAUGCCAAGUAGACUAGGAGCACCAGAGACAUCAAGGUGAGGCUGUGCUGAGGUGCUGAAUUUUCACCUCGUUCCUGAUCACAUGGUGCUAGAGUGUGCUGCUAGUUAAGAGUUUUCACCACAACAAUGGCCAAGAGCACCUCAAGGAGAUGAGUUGGCAAUGGUUCAUGGUGCAGAGGGAGGGCCAAGAGCAAAGGCAUGCUCUCUGGGGAGUCCCAGAUGGAAUUUCAGGCCACAGUGAAACAGAGAUGGGCCAACAGAGGAAGAGCUAGGCAGCUCUGAGACUCCUUGGAUGGAUGGCUGCAUCGAUCUUCCAGCAGUGCACCACCCUGGAGAAGCACCAUGAGGAAGAAGAGUGCUCCCUGUUCUCUUCUUGGAAGAAGCAGAAAAGCCUGGAGGAUCUUAUUCGAAGGAGAAGUUUCCUGCCUCUGGAUCCCUGACAAACAGUGCCUUCCUGCAGCCCUGAAUUAAACCUUGCCAUCAAAAGGGGCAGACAGGAGAGGACACCCGUCUUCUGCAUUUCUGAUGGGCUACGUCUUAAGCAACAGGCUGUGCAGCCCUGCUCCACACCAGGGUGGUGCUGGAUUCCCUUCCCAGGUUCCUAGCUCUCACCAUGUGCUGCAGACAGAGGCUGCAGGCAUGUGAGAGCAUUCACUGGGGCCAGAAGUCAGAAAUCUAGAAAUCAGGCACGGCAGAUCAUGUGGCUCUCAAGGUGCAGAGCAGCCAAAUUGUUUGAAGAACAAGGUACGUGGAGCAGGGGCACUACAUCAAUAUCGUAGUGUGUGGAAACCAGGAGGAAAUGUAGGGAAUUCUUUGCAGUGCAGUUUAAAAGCAUUUAAAAACUUUCUGUUUUUCUUAUUGCAGAUCUGCUGUGUUCAAACAAUGCUUUUCAGCAGCAAUAUUCAGCCACGCAUUGGGAUUCUGAACAUUAUUUUAUCCGUUGUGUUAUCUGCUUCCUUUUAGUGAAAUUAAAUGAUGCCAUGUUUCACGUACUGUUCCUUCCCAUGACAGCAGCUACAGGGCUCAGGAAACUGCUUGGAGCAGCAUGGGCCAUCUCCAGCAAACGCUCCCAUCUGGAGAGGCACUUGGGAGGCUGCAGAGGAAGCAGGUGUGCAGCUGCCAACCCCACCAAUCCCCACAGGGAAAACUGUGCAGUCCCCAGCAAAAGGAACCUCCUGGCAUGUUCUCCCAUCUCUGGAGGUCUGCCUGGCCUUUUGCUGACAGCGUAAUUUCCUUAGGAAUCUCAGAGGCUGACAUCUCUGUUCAUGACCCCUUUUCCUAAGUGACAUUAAUGUUUGCUGCAGGUAUGCCAGGUGCAACGUCCGCUCAUUGCGUCUGCAUCAUCGGGCCUUAUCCUAACACCUCUCUAGAAUCUGAAUUUCUACCUGGGCAAUGAACAGACCUCCAUUUCUCCAGCAAGGAGUAUGCUGCUCUUAGCCAACAUCUGCCUAUCAAGAAGAAACAUAUAUUUAGGAAAUUUGCCUAAGCUGGCACAGACCUGAUAAAACUUGUCAGUAGGUCUGAUGGAACUGAAUAGCAUAAUAGUCUGAAUUAUGGCUGGUGUCACAGGCACAUCCGAAGCACCUUUGUAAGGAGGAGACAUCACCUUGAAAAGCCGGAAAUAGUUGUCAUCCACCUGUAUGCCAUGGCCAUCCUUGCUGAGGUGAUGGAAAGCAGCAUGGUGGGAAUGUGCACUGAUCAGACACUGAGCCAGGCAGAGGGUAAGUCUGAGCUGAUGAAUUACUGCGUGGGUGAGUUUCCCAUCCCUUGCAAGCUGAUGAAAUAUGAUUAACCUGGCACUGGUUAUUCAUUCCCAUUUGUUUUUCAGAGGUAAAUGAAAUUUUGAGAACAUGCUUUCUAAAUGUAAAAAAAGAAAUCUCCUUGUGAUCUCUACCACAUCUAGCCACCUAAUUAAAUAGCCAGUUGAAAUAUGAAUAGUAUAUUAAUAUUGCAGCUAAUAAGUACUAGAUUUAUCCCUUGGCUGGUUCUCUCUACCAGCAAGUGCUGUGAAACUUCUGAAAUCCCAUGUUGUUCUUGAAAUCCCAUGUUAGGAGAAGCUACUGAAUCUUAGGUCAGGUAGAGAGAGAAAUUUCAAACUUAAUAAACCUUGGAAUUUUUUUCCCAAGAUUUGAAAUUCUCAUCACUUCCGUUUAAAUGAGCUAUUAUAGGUUGUCUGGAGUGUGGAAAUAGCAGUUCUUUUAAGACUGAAAGGAAUCAACCUCCUUCUCACCCCAGCUUUGCUGGGAAGUGGAAUUAGACCCGAACUAUAGCUCUUAAUCUUUCUUUGUUUUUUUGUGGAACCAAUAUGGUGUUGUAACAGAAUUAAGAUUCAGUAGCAAAGCAAGAGAGAGGGAGAACCUUUAUACAUACAACCAUACCAUAGCAACUGGGUCUUUCUCUUUUAAUCCUGUUGCAAUUGCUACACAAAUUCCCAAGGUAGAAAUAAAUAUUUUAUGCCACAUCAAAGCUUGGCUUGACACAUUUUCAGAACUGUAUAAAACUGGUUCUAGGUCUAACAUGUCUCUAGCUGAAAGCCUCUGAAAUCAGGUUGGAACUAAAGGAAAUUGCUUGUAAUGCACCCUAUACUGAUCACUAGAUUCUCAGACCAAAUAAAAUUUAAAGCUAUGUUCUAGAAAAGCCAAGGUGUUUUGACUAUAUUAACAAUCCUGAGAUCAGAAAGCAGAUAGACCCAUUUUAAAGGUGAGUUCUUAGAGGAAUCUUAGCAAAAAAACAGGUGGAAAUGAUUGACUUCCAAACAUCAAGCGGUUUUAUCCAUGUAAGAAGAUGGUCCAUAGUUCUUGCCAGAUGUGAUAAAUUGCUCAGUGUUACAUAAACCAAUGCAGUUUUUGUGAUCUACACCAAUGAAGAUCUCCUCUGCCUUGCUAGAUGAGCUACCUAUCUGUACUACCUAAAUCAAGCUGUAAGCCUUUGACCGUGAAAUGUAGUGGGAAAGUCGGCAGGAACAGGUUCCUGCCUGAGAUUUCUAGUGCUUUCAGACAUUUUUUGGAAAUAUUUUUAGGAGGAAAACUUUUCAAACAGUAAAGAUAAAACUUAUCUGAGGUGUCAAACCUCUUUUAGGUUUGCAUCAUGUGUUGAGUCAAGGUUCAGGUAAUUCCGUGGGUUUAAACUCAGCUUCAAAUCCAGCUGUUUGGGCAGGGAGAGUUGCCAGCCUUGUAGCCCUGCGUGCUUGCUGCUGCUGUCCCAAACUCCCACAGAAGUGGGCAAAAGGACUUUGAGGUCUCUCCCGAUGUGUAUAGACUGUAGAAGGUGGCAUUAUCUCCUCAUUGGAACGUCUGUCUUGUGGCAUUCAGUUUAGAGUUAAAGAAGUCCUCAAUCUGUAUUACUGAAGCGUGAAGCCCCCUUGCAAGGUAACAGUAGUGAGUGCCGGUAGGUGGCAUUGUGUUGCUUUUGUUUUCUGAAACUCAUCCCUGUAUUUCCUCUUUCAUUGGUGGAGGAAGUGGUUGAGCACAAAUACUAGUCAACAUAUCUCUCUUUAUUAUUGUUAUUAUUUUGGCAGAAACUGGUCUGUAUUUCACUCCCAUCUGGGUGUGGAGAUGACAGCCCGAUGAUUUGUACUCUGAAACUGAACCAAACCCUUUGAUAAAUGCUAAAGCUAUGGGGAAGGACUUCCCCAGUGGGUCAGACGUUUUGGAGCAGCUCAACUCAGAUGAAUGUAUUGGCCAAGAAGGGCAAAGUUCCCUAAUGAGUUUCCCUCCUAAAGUUUUCCAGAAGAAACAGAGCAGAUAAUUAAGAAAAGACCUUAGUCUUUGAGGUUGUCACUGAGCAAGCAGGGGAGGAGAGCAAAAUCACCAAACUUUUUUUUCUCCAGAACUAGUGCAUAACUGUUCCCACGCUCAAGACAUACCUUUCCAUCUGGUCUCACGUUUUUUCUAAGGGCGGAUUCUUUCUUCUCUAAUUAUUUUUUCACAAAUCAGACGAAGUCAUUACACAGUCAGAGGGCAUUAAUCAUCUUAUGUAAUGUCACAGUAGUGAAAAGUAAAGGCAACACACACAAAAAUGGAAGAAGUAGUAAAGGAAAUAUGAGAUGACAAUGUGUGUGUGGCAAGAACUGCAAGGCAGAGAAAUUGCUAUGGAUUUGGGAACCACUUCUUCUGGUGUUUCAUAGAAGUAUAAGGGAAGCCAUCUCACCUUGACACCAUUUGAAGCAUCUGAGAAUCAAUCCAAUAGCUGGCAGAAUAACCAUUUACCUAUAACUAUGAAGUAAUUGCUUUGUAGGUAUAGAUUUGAGAGGUAACUGAAGCACCAAAGACUAGUAAAUAUCAUUCUAAAAAUAAAUGGAUGAUCAAGCACAUGCUUCAUGGCCUGUUCUUCCAGCCAAUGGCAGUUAUGACUGCACUGGAACAUAAAAAUAGCCAUAAGGGCUCAGAACAAGGUACGUCUGCCUCAGCAUCCUGUCCAGCAGUGGUCAUAGCAAGUGCCUAGGGUAGAGUAAGAACAGGGUAUGCAUAUAUGGUAUUUCCAUAUGAUAUCUCUGUCCUAGACUCAAACUAGUUUUGUUCAAGAGCUUCCCUGAGUCUGAUACUUCCUGUGUGUUUAAUAGACCUCAACAGAUCUCUUUCAAGUGUUUGUCCAGUCUCCCCUUAAAUCCAUAUAAAUUUUCUAAAUCCACAACAUCUGUUGGCAAGGAGAUCCACAGGUCGAGGAACAGAUGACAAGAUUCUGCCUCUUGCUUCCAUAUGAAAAAAAUUGAAAACACUUCUGGAGACAUACUGUGAUCAGCUGUCUGGGACCUUCUCUGAUGAUUUCUGAAUGAAGACUACCAUUAACAGUUUAAAUAAAAUGGUUAGCUCUUAACUGUCAGGCAAUAUUGCAAAUAUCACUGUUCUUCAUUUCAUUCCAUUUCAUAUCACCAAAUACACCUCUGUAGGUUUCACCAUGGUCUUGAAUGAGAAAUGUCAGUGGAUUCCAGACAUGUUAGUAGCUCGCUAAAUAUUAGUAGCAUUAUUAUAAAACACUCAGAUUACCAGCUGGUCUAGAGUUAUGCAUUUUAUAUGUAGCUCACUCGCUUUUGGAAUUGCCUGUCAUUUGAACACACAGCUAUGAUGCUUAUAUGUGUAUAUAAAAGGGAAGCUUGUUUUGGCUUUUAUAAUCUGCAUUCCUUUUCUUCCUAGUGUAGCAUAUGAGGAACUCAUACCUUGUCUCUGUAGUAAUGGACUCUUCACAAAAUUCAGAGCUGGAACUGAUCCUCAACCAGUCUGUGGUUGUCAUGAUGCAUGUUUUUUGUGUAGGUCAUUAUCCUUAGACAGGAUUUCAGCAGGUCACUGUUAAUACCAUUAAGUAUGCGUAACUCAAUACCCAGUGACUCCCAAGCUCUUCAGACCACUGAACUACUGUCAGCCUUUGAUACAGCUUGCAGACUGCCCAUCGCCACAGAGAGCCUGGGCAUGAGGUGACAUGGCAGAGACAUGAAGGGUUUCAGUGAAGACGCAGGUCAUACUAAACUGACAGCUUCGAAUAUGUUGCUAGUAUGUUCCUGCAUCGUGUGAGGAUUACUUAUUAGGACCUCAAGGAUGAAAAGUGAUCGAUCAACCACAGUUUGGAAACUACAGGAAUUUACAAAAAUCCCAAGAGUCGUUGUUAGAAACCAGCUCCACUGUUUCCCAGCAGUGGUGUGCUCCUGGUCAUGCCUUCAGCAGGCAAUACACAGCAAUAAUUCUUUCUCAGCAAAUGGGAUGAAGUUAGCGCUGUUCAACUGCAGACAGCAGCAUGUGGCUCCUGUAACCCAAUUAUCUGAAAAUAUGUUCUGUGCAUUGCUAAUAAGAGAGGGAAAUACUGUCGUUAGCCCCUGAGUUCAGCUCCCUAGCUAGGAAUAUUUUAGAAUGUGCAGAAAAAUGUGAUGGUGCCUCCUGCUAAUGCAUGGAAAUACAAUUAUUGAGUUGGAUGUCUGUGAAACAGGAAUAAAGUUAGAUCUGGUCCAGAGGCUAGAACAAUGUAUAUAUUAAACACUUUAGAUGCUGCUACAAAAUAUAUCUAUAUAUCUAUAUCUAUAAAAUUAAUUAUAGAUUUACCUGCCUUGCUUCUGAUUUAAGGAGCAUUACGCAGUGAUUGAGGAGUAGGAUUAUGACUCUUUUAUCAAGACACGAAUAGUCUGAUUAUUGACUUGUGAUUGUGUUAGAAUAUUCCUGCUUAUUAAAAUUAAUACUGGUUUAUAAAACUUUCUGCUGCAGCUGGGUAUUCAUAACAUUUGAUUCUGGAAUGCUAUCAACAGCUCUUCCAUUGCUACAUUAUCUGGUGCCUCAAUUAAAACAGUACAAAUGCACCAAAGAGUGUGAAGCUUUACUCUUUCUCUGCUCUUUCUGGAGUUGCUGUGAAAUAAUUCCUAAUGUUAAAGAGAAAACAUAACAUACUAAACCACACGCCUUUAGGAACAGUAUGAUAUGUUGUCAGAUAUAAGAAAGAGAGAAAGAAUUUUUUGAAAACUUUGUGAAUGGGUUAAUGCUGUUGCCAGGAAAAGAUUUGCCCUUUUACAGAUCUGAAGGGAGGUAAUGUUGACAGAAGGUGGUAGAGGCCUAGUAAAAAUUUAAGCUUUUGUCUGACUUUUACUUCUGGGAAAGAAAGGGCACUGACAACAACAGCUGCCUGUAGCACCACCUCUUCUCCUUUUUUUUUUUUUUUUUUUUUUUUACACUUGACUUCUAAUAUGGAUUCCAGGCAUGAUUCAGCACACAGAGGGAAGAAGAUUUUACAGGCAUGGACUGGCAUAGUAUUAGGAAAAACAUGCAAAAAGAAACCUGGAAUAAAAUAAGAAGCUUCCUUUAUAUGAUGCGUGUAAAAUAUGGAUCUAAACAAACAUGCAUAAACCUUAAUUUACAAGAGUUUUAUAGGGCUCUUUCUUUAACUGCAGAGAGUCGUUCACUGGGAAGGCAGAAGCUGUGUAAGAGGCUCUGGAGGCCAACUAGAGGAGGUCCCAAACUCACCUCUAGGCUCAAAAUGAAAAUGGAAGUACUAACGUGCAUUAUUUAGACAUUCAUUUUAUUGUUAUUUGAGUACAUGGCCAAUCAGAUAGAGAAUGAUUUUGUGAUCCAGAAAAGCCAGAAAUGGCUUUGACAGAUGUGGUACUUUUUGCCUUUCUUUUUAGGUAAGUGCUAUCUUUCCAAAUCUUGUCCUACAUUUUUAAGCUUGAGGAACAGAUUUUUAAAGACAACACUAGAAGAACUCAGGUGCUCUUCCAGUCUAUCCUUAUGCCCCAAGACAAGACCAGCUCCUUCUAAAUCAUAUCUACCAUAUUAAAACACACACACACACACAUAUAUAUAUAUACACACACACUAUUUGAACUAAGUAGGCAACUAUGAGGAGUCAGGGGCCUACCGCAUGUUGUUAAGUUGAAGGCACACUGAGCACACAUAGAUGCAAGGACGGGAAAUGAAAAGCUAUUUUGAAAGGCGUGAUUCCUAUCCUCACUUCUGAUGGUGAUAGAUAUUUGAUCAGUGUAGAAGUGACAGAUUUUUUUCAGAUGGUUCUGAGAUUUGGUGGUCACUGUAUUUUGGCAUGUGAUUAGAACAGCUUAGGUUUGGAUAUUGUUGAAAUCUAAUGGACAGUGGAUAAUCUUCAGCAACUUAAGUGAGAAUUAAAAUGAAGAAUGUCUCUUUUGGUUGAAAUGGUAGCACCAUGUUCCAUGUUACUGGUAAAAAAUAUUUAUGCAGCUGAUGAGAGCAAGACUGUGUUCACAAUAACAAUAUAAAGAAGCCUGCAAAUUAUAGAUGACAGCACAGACCUUCAUAAAACAUUAUUUUCUUUUUAUAAGUUGAAAUACCCAAAAGCUUGUGUCCAUACCUGCUCUUUUGUAAUCAAAGACUGUUCUCCUCUACUCCUGCACCCCCCCCUCCCCCCCCCAGAAAAAAAAGAUUAAUUUCAAAGGAGACGGUCAGGCCAAAUAUUUUUCAGUACCAUGUGUAUCUUCUGAUUGUUCAGGAGAUCUCAACUAUAUGAUUUUUGUUGGUCCUGGAGCUGGCAAAGAAGCAGCAGGGGAGGGACUGACAGAGACUAGAGAGUGCUGGUGGUGUGCAUAGAAAUGUGAAGGUAGCUACCAUUUCUACAUUGAAGUUUUAAUAAAGCUUUCAUUUUCUCUUAUCAGAAAUGGAGACUCAUCCCUUGUGAGCCUUGUGUUAAUUGUGCUGUUUAUGAUAAUAACUUUCUUGAUUAUUUUGGAUGAUUUGAGUUCUGAGACUUUUCUCAUAUAUACGUGAGUGCAUGUGCAUGUUUUAAGAUACAAAAAUUGCUCUGGUGUAUUCCUGUUAAAUUGCAUGGUAAUAACUAUAACAAUAUCCCACAUAAAUUAUGGCUGUGCAGAUUUACAUACUUGUCCUUGCCUCAGCUAAUUAUAUUUCACCCCCAUUCACUUUUUUCAUGCUGUCACUUCAAAUGUGUAUUUUUUCGUUCUCUAACUCUGCAGUAGCUAUAGUACGUUCCCUGAUAGCAGAGAGGGUUAAAGUGGGGAAACUUGCUGAACCAAAUGAACUGAAGUGAAAGACAUUUUAGUCUCUUGACAUACAAUCCUCAGUAAUUGUAUGGAAAGCACUUAUUUUUUCAAGAAUGCCCAAAACGAGGCACAUUUGGGGAUACAUUCUGUACAGAGGCAAUCCAGCACAAGUUAGAUGCUCUACUAACACAAGCUUGCUUUGCAGUGCCUGGCCUCCAGUGUGAAAUCCGGCAUGAGGCCCAGGCGCUCUAGGCCAUGCAUGGGGAGACAUGGGCUGCCCGAAAGGGCCAACUCUAAAACCUGCCUUAGCCCUGGUGAGGUCCUGGCAUUAACCAGCUGGAACCACAAGGAGUGGGAUUGUGUCUAGACUUCUGCCAUUCCUCUAGAGUUUAGCUGCCUAAACCUGCAGGCUUAAAAUGCAUAUGCCCUGUAUUGAAGACCCUUGGUAUGAGAGUACUUGCCCAGGAAGCGGCUGCCGGGAAUUCAAGUUCCUUCUCGGUCUGAAGAGAUCCGAAGCCUUACUCCAAAAGUGUGAGUACUUCUGUUCACUGCCUAGAUUUCUGCCACUUUUCCUUUUCUGAAGCUGUCUAAUAUAUCCCAUUUUGCCUUGCAUAUAUACUUCUCUCAACAAUAAUGAUAAAAAAUUAAAACUCCUCACAUGGGAGGAGGAUUUCCUGUCAAAACACUUCUCAGCUUGCUUGAUAAAUAAUGAGGUAUUUCAGUCAGAUUUAAAAAGUGCAAACUCCAAAAAUGUUAAUGGUUAUCCUGGUGACAUUGUUACUGUAUUAACCUUUCUAUUUCUCUCUCUGUCUUCUUAUACUGUCACAUACUAUCAGAGCAGCUAAGCGUCUCACGCGUAACAUCAAUAGCAGACGUAGAAUCUCUACAGGGGUUCAUAGUCUUUGGCAAUACUCCCUUUCCACUGGUAAAAAUUUUGCUUGCAUCAAGAAUUUUCUUUGUUUGAUUUUGAAGAGCGGAGGGAGAAGGUGUUUAAGAAUAAACGCCAUCCUUGAAUUGUGUGAGCUGCGCUUGUGAUGAAAAGACUCCUUCAAACCUGCCGGCAUCAUCUCUGCAGGGCAGCUGCACCCAGGAUCUGCCCCACCUCGGUGAGUGAGGAUUCAGUCUCCCACGCGAGCAACACCUGGCACUUGCCUCCUGAGCCAGCUGCAGCCGAGAAGCUGGGAGCCCCCGGCCGCCAUUGGGCCUGGCAGUGCUCAACUCCCCGCACACCAGGACAGCCACCGCAGUGAGCCUGCCUCCGCUCCGGCGGGUGCUGCUGUCCUGUCACCAUCACUGCGUGCGGUGGGGCUGCACUGUGGGAAAGUGUUUAACCCCCCUUCUGAACCACUAACUGCAUUGGGUUUCUGCACCAUCCUGUGAAAUGAGUUCUUCAGUUAAAUUAUGCUUUUUUUUUUUGUUUCUAAACCCCUCUCAUUUGGCUGUUGAAGUACUUCAUUUCUUAAUUCACCUCUCCACAACUUUCUGCCCUGUUCUUCGCCUCAAGAGUCUCUUUUUCAGGCUAAAUAGAUGCUAUUUACUUUCUCCUCCAAUGGAAACUCUUCCACACUUUGGAUUAUUCUCAUCUCACUUAUCUGAAUCCUAUCAGCGUCCCUUUUUUAAAUGGAGAGACCAGGAGUGCAUGAAUUACUUAAGGUAUGGGUGCACCAAGGUAUAACCAAUGACAUAAUGUUUUCUGUUUCUGGCCUGUUUUUUUCAUUUUUCCAUGCCCAGGGAAACUGAUGAACCCCCCCUUCACAAUGUCGCCAAUGUCAUUGUAGACUUUUCUUUUUUAGUGUCAUCCGUGUUGGAUUUUAGAAAGGAAGAAGUAUUUUUAGCCACACAUGAAGCAUAAAAGCAGGUGCUGCAUCUUUCAGUUUCACAAUUUAACCCAAAUGGCUUUCUGUGUCAUUAGCUUCAUGCAGUCCUGCUGAAAAGAACUAUAAACUAGAAUCUAGGCUAGUUUCUUCCACAUAAAAUUUCCAGCAGCAGCAUAUGUGCUUGUUGUGUAGCUGGGGCUGAUCCAAACUGUAAUGAAGUGUGCUGCGCAGGGUCAUGCCCGUCGUCACCCUGCAACGCUGCACUCACGGGAAGGGCUAUCCAAGGGCUCCCCCCGCUGCCGCCGUGCACUGGCCACCCUAAAGGUAAGGACGCGCUGGAGCCGCAGCCCUUGAGGGGCCUCUGCUCCUCACGGCGGGUGCCCAGCACUUCAGCCCGGCAGGCCUCCUCCUGAUGCUCGCGUGCGUUUGCUGUCAGCGGUGGGUCUCAGGGUGCUGGCUAAUUGCAGCCGGCGGACCACAUGCUGUUGGCAGACAUCCGUGGGGGAGGAUCCUGGCUCUGCGGCGAUACCCUGAUGUCAUUGCAAAGGGGGAGCUGUCUGGCUCCCAUUUAGCAAACCAGACAUUGCUGGGCAGGCCCAUUGGUUCAGCAGGUCCAGGCUAACGAAUUUGGUGCCAGAGUAAUUUAGUUUCCACCCCCCGCGCUAUCAUGAAUGUUCUUCUGAGAGUCCCAUGCAGAGUUCAUGCUCAAGUUGUUUGUGGUGAUGAUUUCCGUUAAGACGUGAGCUGACACCAGCAUCCAUUUCACAUGCAGUUGCUCUUAACUGUAUCCCUUAUUCAAGCUGCCCAUCCUUGUGCCAGCUUGCACAGAAUCAGCUCAACUGUAGACAUAAUUUGCAGUAGUGAUCCUGAUCUGGGAAAACUCAAAUUUUGGAAAUCCCAGCUAAAAGACAGCUGAUUCUCCAGAAAUUGCAGGCUAUCCACCCCUAGAAACCAAGUGUUAUAAUUAGCUGUGUUGACUUAGAGUGAUCUUGUGGCUGCCCUUAAUUAUGGUGGGGGGCAGCUGCUCCUCUGGCUGGGAAAGCAGCUACUGGUGUUUGCUCUUUUAUUGCUAGUCUUAGACCAAGCAUAUUUCAGCCAGAUCAGAAAAUCAAAGACAUCAGUUUCCGCAGCUGAUUGACGGGGUUUGUUUUUGCAGUAAGUGUAGUAAUAAUGGGAGAAUAUUUCUGUGGUACAUCAGGAUACUUUGCAAGCAGUUGCCUCUCAUUGAUUUCCUUGCUUCUUCACUAACUUCCACAAAAAAAGCGUAGCCUGUACUGACACUAUGAGGUUUGAACUUGAGAUCAUUUACAAUAGCAGUGUUCAUUCACCAUUAUUUUGCUGAAGCAAUGUAAAAAGACAAGCCUUAAUUUGUGAAAUGGGCCAUCUGUUUCUGUACAAACUGCAUAAUAGAAUGCACAACUAUUUCAAUUAAUAUAGUAAACCGUCUUUAAGCAAUAGGCAUGAUUUUGUGUGUAUUUUUGACUGCAGAAGAUGUCAUCAUCCUUUGCUCUAAUUAUUCUUGAUUUUACCUCCUCAUAUCUUUAUUUAAAGAAGAAGAAUGACAACUUGUCUCACUGGGAGCAAAGUUUUCUCAUAGAUGGAUCAGGAAUAAUUAGACCAAAUGGUACUGCAAACUCCAGCAGACAGGAUAUCUCCAUUACAGAGAGUUAUGUUGUCAUUUCUUUGACCAUCCUCCCAUCAAUCCAUCCAUCAACAAAUUAAAGUUGGCUAAAGAGCCACUUAUCUUGAGUGCUUUUUACCCCAAUCGCUGUCAAUCUAGGUAAAUAAACAUUUUCCCUAGGCAGAGUUUACAUAUUUAACCAUGUUGCUGGAGACAGUCCCCUUGCUACUGAUACACCCAGCAAAUUGCAUGUGCAUUUACUGUAUUUCCUGAUUCACCUCACCCACACGUUACACCUCCAUCGAAUGAGCCCUACUCCCUCUGUCUCCAUUUGGUUUGUCUUUAAAGAUGGGAUGGUGGGAUGAAGUUGCAUUAAAACUUGCAACCUGAAAAAAAGUCUAGAAAUGGAUUUAUUCUCUUAGAUUGAAAAAAAGUCUGUUGCACCAUGUAAGAUACACAUCAAUAAUGGAUCAAGUAUAUGGAUGAAAUCACCCAAAACAAAAAGCAGCGCUUUCUCAGCAAGCCUGCUUUGAGGAAUAUGGCAAUCCUACUGCGUCUGACUUUCAUAAUUUAAACCAUGAUAUCAUAAAUGACUUUAGGGCUUCGUGAUGAAUAUAAACAAUGAUAUGAGCAACAUUAUAUUUGAUAUCUAAUAAAUAUGUAUGUGCCAGUGAAUACAGUGAUAAAGAUACUACUUUCUCCCUAUUAUUUAUUUUUCACUUAAUUGAUACAUAGAGCAGUUCACACUGCCUGCUGCCCAUCAGAAACACGCAAAGGAAGAGAGUUCUUAGUUAUUAGUAUUAAUGUAUGCCUAGUGCUUUUCAAAAGACACUCACGCACAUAUGUGCACACAGAAGGGGUGAGAUUCCCUUCCUACUGAAGUCAAUAGGCUACUUAUCAUUGCUGUCAAUAAUGAGGAUGGCUGUUCCCAAAUCUAACUAAAUCAUAAUAUGACUCAAAACAAGUGCUGUGGGCAAAGCUCAGGGAAGCAUUAGAGAAGCAUUAGAGGAAUAAUAAAAUGAUAUUUCCUGCUGAUCAUUAACAACUUCUCUUUCUCACACAAAUACCUUGCAAAUGUGACAGCUAGUUGGAACGGUUCGAGGCCUGAGACACUGAGUUUUCAGAUUGCUGCUGGAUGAUCAGGACUAGAGCAACGAAAGUGCUGAUGUGCUCUGCACCCCGUGGCGCCCAGCUGGUUUGCUGAGCACACCUCUCCAGGCACAGCAGUCAAGUCUGCCCUGCGAUGCCAGGGAAUCAGGCCGGUAGGAACAGGAGCUGCGAGCGCUGUGCCACCCAUGUGGGAAUGCCCUCAGCAUCGGGUGAACGUCUGCGUGUGGGAGUGUCUUCACCUCUAAGCACAUACAGGAUGUGAGAGGAAAAACCCUUUUCACACCAGCUACGACCUGUGAGGACGUUUUCUUGGAGAGGCUGAACAUAUCCUGCUCAGAGUAACAGCAACAACUGGAAAGAACGACCAGUAGUUUUAUAAGGUCGUGGAUGAUCUGCUUCGUAUCAGAUGAGCACUGAGUCAUCUUCCUGUAGUGGUGAAGUGGUGACAAUUCUUUGGAGUUCAGGGGAGCUCGGCUUUCCCAGCAUCAGUGCAGGCUCUGAAACCCGUCUCAUAAAAUAAAGCCUGGCACAUUGCCUGACCCGGGGGUGGGUGCCAGUUCCUCUGCAGCCCACGUACACCCUGCGCAGCACAGAGGCCGACGCGUGGCCACCUCCACCCUCCCACAAGAGCAGUGAGGAUCUCCUGCAGCUCCUGUCCCAUUUUUUCCCAUGAUCCUGAAUCAGAGGCUCAGGUAAGGGUGGCUUGGAACACCAUGUGCUCCUGUUGUCUGUUUUUAAUGGGUGCACAGUCUUUCCCGGGUGAUGGGAACUGGGACAUACAGAGAAGCAAGUCCUCUUUGUCCAGCUGAUGUGAUGGACCCGCAGCCAGCUGGAGCAUGAAGGAGCCGCAAGCAGCACCUGAGCAGCCCUCCUCUUGGGGCCAGCUGCAGGCAGAGGGCAAACAAGCUGUUACCCAGGGAGGCAGGCUGGUGGAGGCAGCAAAACCAUGGCUGGGACAGGAGGAAGCACGCCCCAGGGUAGAGAAGCAGCUGCUACUCCCAGCCUGGCUUCCCAGGCACGCAGUGCCACCGGCCCAGGCCCACGGCCCUGUGGUUUCCUGGCCUCCCUCCUGGCCACGGGGGCUCUGGCUCACUGCCGGCACCCUGCCUCACUCUGCCUUGCCCAGAUAGCUCUGCGUCGCCUUGUGUCCCCAGCAAGGUCGCAACACAAGGGGCUUUCGGACACCCCUCCCCACUGGGUGCUCCUCUAGCAGUUGGCCCCACUUGCGAGGGUGGCCGGGCAGAGGCGGGUGGCUCUGCAGCUCGGCCGAGGGAAGGUGAAUGCAGGGCAGCACGUCUUGCUGCAACACUCCGCCUCUCUGAGCCCAUCGUCCAGUGCGACCUCGCUGCUAGCUCCUGCCAGAUGCCAUCCAUGCACGGCUGCCACGAACCCAUCCUGCUCGUUACUGACUUCGUAACCUGCUCUCAGCGAUAAUGCUGGAGAAGAGAGGGUGGCAACAGCAGGAGGGAGAAAGGAGAAGGAAAAAAGGGCAGGAAGAAAGAGCUUGAAGAGAGAGAUGUGAGGAGGCAUCUCGGACACCACAAUUCCUCUGGCCCUUUUUUUUUCACAGAUAUCAGCCAGUUUCUCAUGCACACACACAUGCACAGGGUUCCUCGAUCCACUGCAUAAAAUAAUAGUGCAACAUUUACUUGGGAAUUUUUGCUUAUUUUUAGUCCAGAAAGGGGCUGAACAUGUUCUGAACAAAAAAAGAUUAAAACAUAGUUUUACAUAACAUUAAACUUAAUAAAUUGUCCAUUGAGAUGGGUCCUCUGCUGGUUAUCCCAGUGGUGCCUGCCUGACCUGGACAGUCACUGGUAUUAUUACUGAGCAUUAGUAAGAGGGUUUUUUGCACAUUAUUCUUUACUGACACCAGCAAGUAAAUCUAUACAACCAACCUUCAAAGUGGUAAGUAAGUAACAUGCCCAUUUUAGAGGCGGAGGGGCUGAAGUGAGCCUGGUUCAAAUCACCCAGCUAGGAGUGAGCGGAGAGUUGAGGCAGGCUGGUGCAUGCUCUGUACGCCAGCCAGGCAGCACUGCUUUUCUUGUUGUAUUAAAGAUAAGGAGAAAAUAUCCCCAACUAAGCACACUAAUGUCCAGAUCUUCCAGGUGGGCAUCACUGGCAUGUCGAAAUUGCAACUAUGGUUGUGUUUUUAGAGCAGUCAAUGCGCUACUACCACAUCCUCGUUGAUGGGUAGCCUGGAGUCCUUUCCCUGGUGGCCUUGGAGCACAGCUCCUAAACUGACCAUGUAGGUCCCGCACCGGAUGGACUGGACAGAGGCUGCAGCUAAGCAGUGUUGAAGGGAAGCACCUUCACGAAAUAUAGUCAUUUAGAGAAAGCAUGAAAAAGGUAUCACGCUAGUAGGCAUUACCAGUGGGGAAGGCUAAUGAGUUAUCUAAACAGCUGAUGGGGUUUAAGUGAGGUAGGUCCCAGACUGAUGGUGGUAGCUACCGUCAGUGUGACACGUGGUCAGAAAUACCUGUGCUACACUGUGCAGUGCAGAGUGAUGAAACCCAGGACAGCUCCACACGAACGAGAAGGGUCAAAGUGCAGAGGAGUUGUAUUAGCCCACACCUCCACCUGGACUGAUUUAUGGUAAGCUCCUCAGCAUUUAGUUCCAGGGUAGUUUAAAUAGUUUCCUGCUUAGGUGAUUGGCUCUGAAAAUCCCUUUCUUAAGCACUUAACUACAGAUUGGCUUUUUGGCACAGGCCAGCCUAAUUUGGGUUGCACGUUCCCAAAGGCGAUGGCUCACGGAGGGUUAGGGGUUGCUCUGCUCUGUUGCAUGGUGCCUUCAAAAAUACCUUCCAUGUCACUAAUUUCUGGCUGCUUCAAGACCAGGGCCAGCAGCUGCACUACCUUGUCUGCAGCUAGUGCAAGCACUGCUGCACGGGGCUGCAGCGCAGAGAGCGCCGCAGAGCAACCGCACAUACCGGAGCGUGGAUCGCCGGAGGGAAAGAGGCCCUUCCUCUGCGCUGUCUCCCCAAAGGGUUGCUGCUGAAUUAUACUUCCCCAAUGCUUUAUUGGCUCUGUUGCUUUUUUCCAUUUCGCUUUGUUUUUCAACUCAUCCAGCUUUCUAUGACGCACUUACAAUAUAUGGCUUUGCUUUGUCAUUUUAAUUUUUUUUUUUUUACCCUAUAAGCCUACUCUAGCCGGACCUUUGCAAAGGAGCUAAACAGUAUAGUCAACAAGCUUUUCAUUUAUCUACUUGGGAGUCAUUUGGUCAAGUAAAGCUGCUGUACGUAAACGUUGCAUUCAGCGCCUAACAAUUGGAGUGAAGUUUUUAUGCACAGUGCUUUUUAUUUUCCAAUCAGCAGCACUGAGUUGGGACUUUUGGGGUAAACUGGUAGCUCUGGGCAGCUUUGAAGCAUCACAAGUGGAGGUUUUUGUCUCCAGAAGAUUUACUAGCAGUGAUCUUUUAUUCAACCGUUUUAUUAGCCUCCUUUUACAUAUGUAUGGCAGUGAGGGGGAAAAACCUGUUGUUGGUGAAGUACAGAGUCUAUUUCCCCUGUGGUAUUCACACAAAAAAAUUGUGUGAAAAAUUGUUGCCCAGGGCCUCCCCAAAUACUGAAAUUUAGCUUAGUGUCAUGAGGUUUUCAAACACUUCAAGGCUUCUCCGCCCCCGCCCCCACCUUUUAAAGGUUGAAGCCGGGGUAACAAAUUCAGCUGCGGGAAUGGACGGCCUGCCGUUGGCCCGGCCAGCGGCUGCUGGAAUAAAUCUAUAUGCCCCCUGACGGACCUGCUGAAAAGUUUUCACCCGCUUAACACGGGUUUUAUAAUUUUACUUGAGAGUUCUUGUUGAAUUGAGCCCUGUUGCGUGGACAAAUUGGACAAGAAAAGUUUAAAUGUUACCACUUUGGCUCCCCCUCAAGUGGUGCUGAGCACAGAUGUUUGCCGGGGCCGCGGUGUCCCGGCAAGAAUGGGGGCUUUGUGUGCAUAACCUUACAAAGGGCAGAAUAGCCCCGCUUCGCUGCCAGCCAUGGGAUCAUCCUAUCUUUAUGUGUUGAUUUAUUAGGCCAGGGAUGAAUGAAACCGUAAUUAAUAUUACUGAAGCAUUAGAGUCUAUUUAAUUUAAAUGCCACUGAAUAUUUCACUUUCAGUUGGGAGUGACAAUGUGUUCGGGGCUGUUGGUGAAAGCCUCAGCCAUCUGUUACCCCUACUAAGAAGGGAAGACAAGAGAGACACAGGGAGACAGAGAGCAUUGAGCUUUGUGGCUUUUCCAAGCGUCCGGGAUCAUCAUUCAACUCAAGGGCAGCCAAGGAACAUUCCUGCACACUGGACCCUCCAUGUACAGGGGAAAGGCCUGAGAGGGGCGAGGGAUCCAGAGGUGCGCGGGGAGAGACGGGGAGACAGAGGGAGAAAGACGGAAAGUUACGGUACGUGGAUGCGUACGUAUGCACAAGUGUGGGUAAGUGUGUGUACCGAAAUCAGGUGCCAACCAGGAAACUGGCCAACUUACGGAUGGUCUAAAAAUAAUUUUAAAGGUGGGAGGGGGGAAAGAGUCAGGGCUGGUUUGAAUUUUAUUUUUAAUAAGCCAAAGCAGUGAGGUUCCAGUCCAGCUCCACCCUAGCAAAUACCAUACCAUUUGAUGGCCGUUGCGAUGCUGGAAGCCCGAUACAUUUCAGAUGAGCUGCUGCUGUGACUUGAUCUCCAGCAACCUAAGGCAAAGCGGGAAGAAGAGGCAGCAGCGUAGAAACAGCCUGAGCUCCUGCGAAAUGCCGUGCGGCACCGAGCAGCUGGCCAGCCAGGUGUCACCUCUGCUCCCGCGGGACAGCAGGGACAAGCGGAGGGCACCCGGCGGAGGGGAGAAACACUCCCUUACACGGGGCGAGCGCGGCGCAGGGCUGCGCAGGGAGGAGACGGCAGCCUGGUGGAGGGAAGGAUGGGAGGCUCGGUCUUUCGUGGGAUGAUAAUUAGCACAGUGGGUUUUCUUAUAAUUGGGAUCAUUUGUUCUCCCAGUUUUUCUCCUACAAACUGCUUUCAUGCCAGAGGGAAGCUGUGUGACUCACACCUUGCCAUGCCAAUUAGCUGAUAAACAUCAAAUGUAAACAAAGAUGGCCUAAUUAAGCCUAGUCGCCCAACCUCAACGUGCAUCUUGUCAAAAUUCCUCCAGCCUUUCGCAUCCAGCCUUAUUUUCCUGUUUGCUGGGACUAAAUUAGCGGCUUUGCACAAGAUUUACUUAUCUUUGAGAGGAGCUUAGAGCAGGUAAUGAGGGAAAUUGGGGGAAGACGGAGGAAGGGAGAUCAUCCCCUUCAUCUCGACCGCGCGGGCAGAACAGAGGGCCCUUGUUUCCCAAGGGCAAGCACCACCUUCGAGCCCUGCACCGGUGCCCAGGGCAGGUAUUUUCCGCUGCCAGCUAAUGCUGGGGGCUGAUUUCUGAUCCGGCAGCCACAUCUUGGGGGAUUCACUCAUUUUCUGUUCUUGAGUGCUACUGCCUGUAAAGAAACCUGUAAUGUGUGUCUCCGGCUGCAUUCACCUGUUGUGAAAACUCAUAGAUGGGAGCCCGAGCGGUGGUGGCUUGUACUGCCGUGGGCUGCAUUUGCCCCAGCUCGCAGCUUGGGGAGUUAUUUGCACUUUGGGGAGGAGGUGUAAGACAACACCACAUCAGCGUGGCAGCAUUUCACACCCACUUCACACCAGAGCAAUGGCUCGCACAGGUGGACCAUGGCAGAGAAAUAAGCCCACUCAGGAAAUUUUAUUCCAGGAGUGAUCCUUACAAAACGGGUAGGACCAUUUCAUAGGACUAUGAAAGAAAAGGCCAAGAAGGGACCUCCAGAAGCCAUCUGGACCACCUCACUGCCUCUGGACCACCUCUCUGCUUCUAGACAAGAUCCACCGCAUCGUAGCUGACAGGCCUCUCGUCAUGUUUGCUGCUCACCUCUGAACUCUCUCCAAGAUCCACGUCAUUCUUGAAGGAUGACAUCCAAAACUGAGCACGGCUGCAGGCUGUGUGGAGCCGAAAGCAGUGGAGGAGCCCUCCGAGCCCCUUGGCAGCCCUUGGCCUGCCUGGGUCGCCCUUGCCCCUUCCAGCCCCACGGGAGCCCACGGCGGCAGUCCUGCCUCCCAGAGCAUGCGUGGCUGCUUGCCGCUUCGGGUCAUCUGCAGCUGCAGUAAGGUAAGUACUGUAACUACUACCCGGUAUUGUGGCGGUGCUGCGGCAGCCUGCGCGGGUCUCCCCCACAUCACGUUUCCCUCCCCGGCUCGCGCAGAUGUCGUGUGAGGCACGGCCUCCCCACAGUGGGCGGGAACUGAAGGCAGGGCUGCCUCUGCCACUGCUCUCCGUGCCACACGGCUGUUCCCCUCUCGCAUGGACUGCGUCAAUGCAAUCCGUUCUUGACGAACCCCCAUCAGCUGCUCCUCCUCUCAGCGUUCACAAAUAGUUUGUAUGAGUAUUUGCUCCAUCACUUUCCAGGGAUUCAAAUUACCUUGUCUAAAACCCGCUGCUCCUUCUUCCAGUGUGAAGGCUGGCCUCGGUGGUCCUCUGCAAGCCCUUGGUGGGAACCACUAAUGGCUCUGCAUCCGCUCAGGGCCCCGUCUUCACUCUCCCAGGUAGCCCAGGAACCAACUCCAGCACAAUGAGAGCAAAAGCAAUAAAACACUCUUGGUACUUCCAUACUUCCCACUAAGACUGUAGAAAAUAACUUUGAGACAUCACCUAUUCUGGUGAGUGGGUGUCUCAUUCACACGCAUGUGAAAAAGGGACCUAGUUCUCUGAAAUGGGGUAGCAUGAGUAUUUAUGCAUCAUGUGUGCUAUCUUAUGCCUAUCUUACGCCCAGUUAUGCUGAUGAUGCCAGUGUCUAUGUAAACAACGAGGUUUAGUGAAAGGAAAGAUGAAGAAAUGCAGGAAAGGAAAGCAUAAUAUCAUUACAAAGGACGGCCAGCAAUAGCAGGUGUCAGUUAAGUUUCCACCCUAACCCUCUGCGUGCAGAUCUUCAGGAACAGGCACAGAUCCUCUCGCCAGAGGAACUGCUCUGGGAAGCUGCAGUGAAACAGGCUGGCUUCUUAUAAGAGAGAGGGAAUAGAAAAUACAUCUUUUCGCACAACAAACAAAUAUAAUUCUAAUGUUAUUUAUGUAAAGAGCUUUGCAGCCAAAAUCUCAAAUCUUUGAGAGCUGCCAUCUCACUUGGAAAUUACCCUCUGAACCUUUCAGUGCCCAGUGCUGUUUUACAGUGAAGGCAGCAGGGACGUGUUCCUACCUGGGUGAGGAGCUAGUGAAGAAGCUUCACACCAAACUGCUCUUGUCCUGGUUGGUGCAAACAUGCAAAAAUAAGGCACGGGAAUAUGAUUUGCACUAGAAAUGUAGCUACACCGACAGCACACGUCAGUGUAGGCAUGCUUAUGUCACAGAAGCGUACGCAUGACGCUAGCUUAGCUGUUUUAAUAUAUAAAACAUCAAAUACGUAUUAAGAGAACAAUUUAAUGGCUAGUCAAUAGUCUGUCCACUCCUGGGGAAGACGGUUCACAACAUCAUGUGUAACAAACUCUAAUAGACAGCGUCAGGAGGAAGCGCUUACAUUUCAAGAACUUAGUAUUGUGUAAAAACAUUUAGAAAAGAGCUUACCAGCCAAUCAGCACAGUAAUGUAAUUACGCCAGAUUAUGCAGCAUUUUGUGCAUGUGAGUUUCUCAGCGAGCAGGGCUCAAAACAACAUGCAGCCACAUAACUUUUGAAAUUCCAGUCAGCUCCCGCGCGCUCGCUGCCCACCGGCCUCCAGCUGACUCAUCCUUUUCAGCGGGUUUCUUUUCAGCCCUGUCCCUGGGCUGCACAUCCCGGAGCCAGGCCAGAUUAAUCUGGUACCAGCCAGUGUGGCAAACCAGCAUUUCUCGGUGGUGGGCUCAUCAGUGGCUGUUGAAUUUCAGCUUUCACUAAAAAGGAAAAAAAUGUAUAUAUCAAGCUCUCUAGGAAUGAGCAGAAAACUUGCUGCCUGUGACCCCACAGAGGGCUGCCUCAUUGAAGCUGCAGAGAAAUAGAAAUAAUAGAAAAGCAUGAGUUUACCCGCGCGUUUCUCGGCCCCGGCGGGCAGCCCCUCUGCCGAGAAACCCACCUUCUGCUCCUUUUACUAAAUAUAGGCAAGUCAGACAUGGCCAAAUUCAUCAAAACGUGCAAUCAUAUCCCCCAAAGAGAUUCAUUGUGACGGGAGACCAGAAACCCUGUGAAAAUAAGGGCUCGAUAUUCCCGUACUUGCACACACGAGUAACCUUGGUGACGUAAGCAAUCCCCCGGAUCAGACGUUCGCGGGACGAGACUCCUCAAAUUUCCAGCUAAGCCCAAGUCGCUUGCCAGAAUUUUUCCGCCGUGCACUCGCUCACCCUUGGCUCUCCAGGCUCGGGCCACCUUCGCCACACUGAUGGUAAGUUCCCAUAGCCGAGCUUUUCCACCCUCAGAGAUCAAGUAGAAAAGAAAUGUUAAAAAAAGCUGUAUUGAUUCAGUUAUAAAAAAUGAUCCCCUUUGCAGCACAGUUUACACUAAGCCUCCAAAUCUGACAUCUCUUUGAAAGCCCUCUUAAUAUAUCCAAUUAUAGAUUUUCAGCAACUUUGAGGAAUGUUGGCUUUCCCAGCUACUGACCCUGGAAAACACCAUUGAAAUCAGGAGGGAUUUUGCUAUUGAGCUCAGUGGGGGAGGAUCAGGUCCUACAUAAUUUUAUUGUCAGCAAUGAUGACCUCUCUUCACAAAUGAAGAAUACCCAUCCUGAACCAUGGCCUUCAGAACGUAAACCAUUUAUUUUUAUAGCUGGAUCCUUCCCCAAGUGGGAUAUUUUGUGCAUGGUUAACUUAUCCAGGGCUUUAAAUGCUUGCCAAGUGGCUUUAAUAGCAGGAUGUUGUUUAAAAAGAUUGGGAAGGAUUGUGGGCAGUAAUAGAGAUAAUUGCCAAGGAGAGAUAAAUGAAUCUUCAAUCUCAAACCAACUUGGCUUUAUCAUUGGGUCAGGAGGGAAGAUCCAGAAAAAUCCCCUGUCUCAGAGUAAAUGCGUAAUGAUAGUUUGGGAUUUAGGGAAGUUGGCAGCUGUCUAGAUUCUUUGAUAAAAGCAUCUUUUAAGGCUUAACACAGGUUUGCAAUUCCAUAUAAAGCCAUGAAAACCUCUUUUCACUAAAGGGAUUUAGAAUCACAAAAUAAAAAACGCUGGAGGUGAAAGUCUGGGAGAGGAAUGGGCAGCGGUGACCUCACGAUGGGGUAAUUCUGCAGGCUGCGCAGCGGGGAUCGAUCAGACCGUGCGCCCAGGGGCUGCGCCAGCCCCAGACCCCGGCAGGUGAGAAGCUUUUGGCCAAACACGGAGCAGCACGAAGGGGCCGAGCGCCUCCCGGCCACCCCGCCGUCCCCGUCCCACAGGCCUCGGGGCACUCACAGCUACGUGCUAAAGCACAUUCAGGACAUAUUCAAGCCUAUUUAUUUAUUCAUCCAUUGGGGAGGGGAGGAGGUCGAAAGCCAACUCUUCUAAUGAGAAAUUAUCUUACCUCGUCAUGCAGAACAAGGUACUGCGCGACACAGCGACUUUUCGGGCCAACCUCUUUAAAAAUCAUUUGCCGGAUAAAGUCUGCUGCAAAGCAGAAACAAGGCCUGGCUUCAGGCAGGUUUCCCCUGCCAGGAGUCAUGGGGUUUUGCGGGGGUUUUGGCUUUUCUGCCUCUGUGAAAUCCCCUUUUCACCUCCUUGCUCACAGGAAACACCCCAGCAUCGUGGUGAGCAGCGGUCCGGCCGUUCCCUGCCGUCCGGGCCGUGCCGGGGACCGCUGGGGGAUAAGCAGUGCGUGGGGAAGACUCGCUGGACUUUUAUAAGAAAAAGAACUUACAUUCGCAGCUACGGAAAAUAAUACUGCGGAAAACCGGAAGCAUGGCGCAGGGGAAAGGUGAUUUCCGUCUGUGUGAGCUGAAAGGAAAUUGUGAGCCAUUUUUCCAAAUGCAGUGUUAAAAGAGGCAGAGCAGUAACAGCUCUACUUGCCUAUUCCUGCGGAUCCUACUGAAGUGCUGUCAUGGCUUAUUACCUGUCGAUCUGAGGUUCAAGCCUGGAUGACUUUUAAUUUUUUGAAGCUUAAUGCUGGGAAAACAGAAUUGCUUCAGACUGGCUCAGUUCAGCACUUGGAUAUAUGUGUUUAUGAUAUACAGUAAUAUAUCACACGCAGAUUCAGAACGGGUUUCACUGCUAGACACUUUAAACUGGCAUUAUCUUAUCUGAAAUAAACCUCCUUAAAAGCGUACGAGCAACGUGAGAUAAGGGAAAAGCUCGUCAUCGGAUUUUGGAAGCUCCUGCGGCUUUCGCCGCUUGCCGGGACCGGGAGCCCUGGCCGGCGCUUCGGCCUGACCCCGAGCCGCGCCGGGCGGCUCCGUGGCGAUGGGAAGCUCCUCUCACGCCCGCGAUUUCUGCUGCUGCAAGAGUCUGCAGCUAAUGUCAUAACAAGAAUUAAACUGUCUCAUCAUAUUACUCCCAUCUUAGCUGACUUCGCUGGCUAUUAAGGUGACAGUGCAUUGAUUUAAAAUUUGUGUUAAUUGUUUACCCAUUGUUGGGGUUAUUGUAGUGACCUGCAGCUUUUCUGUAGCUGUGGAUCGUGUUUGCGUUCUGCUUUGCAUUAGCUGCUCUCUGUCUGGCUCUCGCCACGUAACAGCCCCAGCCUUGCCUUGCCUUGGCACUUAGAGUCUUGCUGUGGUCACUUUUAACAAUAAACAAGUGGCGAGGGUAUAGCUGCAUUUGAUUGUUGUGCUGGAGCGUUACCAGCGCUUUCGGAGGCUUUUCUUCCUUUCUGAUUUUUUUAUUUGCAUCUACUGCCUUCAGAUUUUUAGUUACUAAUAGCAGGGGUGCUGUAUAAUAUAAACAAAUGCACUGGCCGUGCCUGCAACACCUUCCCUUUACCGCUUCGACAGCGCGAGUGGCGUUCGCUCCCACCACAACAUAGACGCUGCGGCCCAUCGCUCUUCGGGUUUCACUUCUGUGGUGGAUAAAUCAAUCCCUGCAUAAGCCCACAGUAACAAACUUUUCACCCAAAAUUGAGAAUGAAAAUUGCUUUAUGCCGUCUGCUGUCUCUCUGGCACAAAAUGAGCGUCACCUCAACAGGAAUUUGGCAUGCUCAGUGAUUGCAGGACUGCUAUUAGGAGAUAUUUUAAUUUUUUCCUGAUCUAGCUCUCCAAAUCCAUGAACAAUGUAUUUCUCCACAGAUAUUUGAAAAAAUCCUUUAUUGUCUCUGAGACUGCAAGUUUUUUUCAUCCCCCCACCCCCCCCACUAAGGGUUGCAACAUUUCUAACCUGGUCGCCAUUCCCACUUUGUUGUUCUUUCUUUUACUGUGGCAAUUGUUAGAACAGGAACCUGAAAGAUAGUGGUUUGUCUUAAUGAAAAAAAUCUUCAGGUUUAAAGGAAAAAAAUCCUAAGUAAUAAAUACUUAUCUGUGAGUCUGAGACCCCAUUGGAGUCAAUGACAGUUUUGGUCCCUGAUAUCAGGGACUUCAGGUCCGACCUCAGAACAUGGCCCAACCUAAUGCAUUUAUUUCUAAAAUGUCCCUCACCGGACGACCCCUGCAGAUGGGCUAAUCCCCCGCCCCAUCUUCCACGAGGAGGCUUUUUUUAUUUGCUUUUUGCUGAAAAAUGAACUUGUUCAUGAGCUGAAACUAGAUUUUAAUAUUCUCCAAAGGCCAGUACAUUUUACACAGUUUAUAGCUCAUAAACAUGCUUGCAAUUUUCAAAAAUAUUACUGAUUAUUUGCAUUCCCACUGUUUAUACCUGGGGAAAAGGGAAGUCUCCCAACUGCCAUUAGAGAGCAUUUCAUUAGAAAAAACAUUCACUAUUUAUAUUUUGAGCAGAAAUGUGCCACUCACUUUUAUGAAUAAAGCAUAUGCUUUUCCAGUCCAUUUAUGGCUGUUCUCAGCACACAAGCGGCCUCUGCUAACUUAUGCACCCAAGCGUCACGGAGCCGCAAAAACGGAGAGGAAUUUGCAGUAAAAGCUCCCGCGACAGGUCCCGCUUCCGCACGGCGGCGAGGGCCCCUUCGCCUGCGCUCCUUAGUAGCACUGCCAGUAAGUCCACGUUUAACACGAACUUUCCUGCCUUUGCAAAGCCCUGCUUGCUGCGUGAUAGCCGUGUUUUGAAAGCCUUCACGUGCCUUUCGCUUUAUUUGUGUUUGGACGAAUUUCUCUCCCUUUCAUGCUCCUUGCUGCUCCCGUGUCUCUGGCCAGGCUGUCCCGAGGAGAGCUGUGAUUUUCUGUGGACACCGGCCAGCAAGCAGUAUCGACACCUCCCGCUGCCGCUGCCUUUCGCGCGGGAAAAAGAAAGUGUAAGGAAACCCCCCCGCAGCGCAGGGACAUUGCUGGUGUAAGGUAAACCAGCCCCUUCCCAAAUUCCCGCAGUGCCGACCCUGUUGCUUUCCAGGAGCCCUGCGACGCUUGCUGCUGUGGCAGGGCUGGCGCCCCGUGUCGUGCUGUCCGGGAAGGGUUUUAUUUCAGAAAUAACAUUUCUCAUCCUUCUGACUGGGGAGAAAGCCUCAAAAAGUAUGAGGCAGAAGGAACCCCUAAAUGUGCUAUGUUUUACAGCCUUUUCAUUUUAAACUAGUGAUGAUUUUAAGAGAGGCCACUGCCUGAUCAUUUCUGAACGCGCAGUAACUGCAUAUUAAGCCUAUCUCGGUUUGAUGUAUGUCUAAAUGCCUUAGUCUGAGGUUAGGUGCUGGUGUCCUUUCCUCUUUUGCAGACUGUCAUCUGCUCUGCGGGUCACAUAUUUCAUAUUAAUUAGUCUCUGGAGACCUGGAUUCUAAAAUAAAUGUGUUUUUAGGGUUUUAAAUAGCCCUACUCGCGCAGAAAGGCCGUCGUGCCCUGCGAGCGCCCGCCCACAGCAGCGGGGUCUGCGCAGGCUUUGUGGGUAGCCACGGCCUCGGGGGCCCCCAUGGGACAGGACGGGAU